AACCGUUAAUUGGCAAACGAAUCGGAGCCACGAAGUCGUUUCGCUGGUCAAUCCAAGUUCAGUUUGGGAUAGCAAUAUCUCGGGCGUAUUCUUGUUGGUUGGCCAUUGUAAGCGUACACUGCAACCAGUUAGACAAUUGGCGAUGGGCCAAGUUGGGUAGAAGCCUCGGUGACUACUUAACGAAGUGCUUGUUUGCUCUAACUAGUAGUGAUAUUGUGUUUCUUCGGGAACAUGGUGUUGCUGGGUUAGAGUAAGUGAACUAUCACCAAAUACUGACUGGCACAAUGAAACUUGCUCUUAUGAGCGUGAUACACAAUGCGGCUACUCGUGUCUAAUGUCUACACAGUCAACCGUAGGGUUUAAGUUCGGCAUUUUUGAAUUUGGGCUUGCUUUCUACCAGUGGGGCAACUCCUGGUGUUGGUAUUGUCACCAUCUAAUCGGGUGUCGACUUGAUUUUGCGUUGUUUGGAUGUGCUACGAUUGGAUG
rnacentral:rRNA from 1 species